rnacentral:rRNA from 1 species
AUUGAACGCUGGCGGAAUGCUUUACACAUGCAAGUCGAGCGGCAGCACGGGGGCAACCCUGGUGGCGAGCGGCGAACGGGUGAGUAAUACAUCGGAACAUGCCCAGUCGUGGGGGAUAACACUUCGAAAGAAGUGCUAAUACCGCAUACGUCCUGAGGGAGAAAGCGGGGGAUCUUCGGACCUCGCGCGAUUGGAGUGGCCGAUGUCAGAUUAGCUAGUUGGUGGGGUUAAGGCCGACCAAGGCAACGAUCUGUAGCUGGUCUGAGAGGAUGAUCGGCCACGCUGGGACUGGGACACGGCCCAUACUCCCACGGGAGGCAGCAGUGGGGAAUAUUGGACAAUGGGGGCAACCCUGAUCCAGCCAUUCCGCGUGAGUGAAGAAGGCCUUCGGGUUGUAAAGCUCUUUCGGCAGGAACGAAACGGCUAGCUCUAACAUAGCUUGCUAAUGACGGUACCUGAAGAAGAAGCACCGGCUAACUACGUGCCAGCAGCCGCAGUAAAAC